rnacentral:sRNA from 1 species
AGGGUAUUAAAAACCAGUGACAUGUAGCAUGAAGGCGGGUGAGGCCCAUAUUGCUAAUGUGAUGCUGAUGUGGACGUUCAUUGUGGCUUUGGUUUUUACCCACAAAGGCUAUUUGAACAUGGAAUUCAAUCCUUCAGAUCAUCCUCGGGCCAGCACAAUAUUCCUCAGUAAAUCUCAGACAGACGUGAGAGAAAAACGCAAGAGUCUCUUCAUUAACCAUGUAAGUGAAGCUGUCUCCCUGUGUUUUUCAUAAUGACUGUACAGUGUAAAGAGCUAAAAUAACUGUCUGUGAUGGAUGAAAAUGGCUCAUGUGCUUUGUAGAUACUUGGAAGAACGUUGCAGUGUA